CACAACUCAAGUGUGUGCAUAAGCUUCAUUCAUUGACUAGAAGUUCAUAAAUAUAGAAGGAUCAAAUACACUACACAAAAACAAUAGGUCAUAACUUAAACACUAGUAAAUAUUGCUCCAAAGGAGUAAAUGAGUCAUCUGCAGCAUGCUACAAUUAAGCUUUGCCCUUAUCACCGAUGAUAAAAAAGCUUCCUCGUAGCACAAUAUCCUUUUACUUCAUAAUAUGGCCUAUGAGUGGUUACAUUGCUCAUACACCCAACUUCCAUUGCUUCAAACUGUUAAGAAUUUCAAACAGCUUGCCAACAUCCUUAGCAUCAGCCAACAACAAUGAUCAAAAUUAAAGGCCAUCAUCCCAAUCAACUAGACAACAAUAAAGCCAAAAUUCUGCAUCACCUAGAACCAUAAGAUUGCAGUCCAAAGGUAUGCUCUUUUCAAAAAUUCAGGACUGCAAAGAAAAAAGAGGUAGCCAGAAAUGUACUGUCUUUGUCACAUGUAUGCCCCACAAAGACACAACCAAAGCAUAUAUUAUGAAUUAUUGAAUAAUUCCAACAAGAUAAGAACAAUUAAGUAUUACAAUUCCUUGUUCACCAUGAAAUUUUCCAAAGUCAAUACCCAAUAUAUACAUGAUAAUAUUAGUAAGAACUAAAAUUGACAAUAGCCCCACCAUCCAUUGUCCAAUAAUAUAAAAACAAAUAUUUCAAUCUCACAUUAGUUUUCAAUAUCCCAUACCAGCUAGCAAAGCCAUGACAUCAAUCCCAUGAUUCAUGGACAGAUCUGAUGUAGUAAUAAAAUACAGUUUUUUAUCUCGACUCUCGAUAUAAGAUCAGACGGUUCAUAUAAAAAAAUUGUCUUUUCCUAUUUCCUAUAUAAAAGAACAAGUAUACCAAAGAAAAAUUAAAAAGAAACAGUAACUCACAGAAUAAGGGUAUGUCCUGAGCUACAAGAUGAAGAAAGCAGAAGUGGUGAUUAUCCCUUCUCCUGGUGUAGGCCAUCUAGUUUCCACCCUUGAGUUCGC
rnacentral:lncRNA from 1 species